rnacentral:rRNA from 1 species
AGUGAACGCUGGCGGUAGGCCUAGCACAUGCAAGUCGAACGGCAGCACAGUAAGAGCUUGCUCUUACGGGUGGCGAGUGGCGGACGGGUGAGGAAUACAUCGGAAUCUACUUUUUCGUGGGGGAUAACGUAGGGAAACUUACGCUAAUACCGCAUACGACCUACGGGUGAAAGCAGGGAUCUUCGGACCUUGCGCGAUUGAAUGAGCCGAUGUCGGAUUAGCUAGUUGGCGGGGUAAAGGCCCACCAAGGCGACGAUCCGUAGCUGGUCUGAGAGGAUGAUCAGCCACACUGGAACUGAGACACGGUCCAGACUCCUACGGGAGGCAGCAGUGGGGAAUAUUGGACAAUGGGCGCAAGCCUGAUCCAGCCAUACCGCGUGGGUGAAGAAGGCCUUCGGGUUGUAAAGCCCUUUUGUUGGGAAAGAAAAGCAGCAGGUUAAUACCCCGCUGUUCUGACGGUACCCAAAGAAUAAGCACCGGCUAACUUCGUG